rnacentral:rRNA from 2 species
UACGAAAGGGGCAAGCGUUGUUCGGAUUUACUGGGCGUAAAGGGCACGCAGGCGGUCUUGCCAGUCAGGGGUGAAAGCCCGGGGCUCAACCCCGGAACUGCCUCUGAUACUGCAGGACUAGAGACUAGGAGAGGGUGGUGGAAUUCCCAGUGUAGAGGUGAAAUUCGUAGAUAUUGGGAGGAACACCAGAGGCGAAGGCGGCCACCUGGACUAGAUCUGACGCUCAGGUGCGAAAGCGUGGGGAGCAAACAGG